rnacentral:tRNA from 1 species
ACGUCGGUAGUACAGUGGUUAGUGCAGUCCACCGGAAAUAGAAAGACCCGGGUUCGAUUCCCGUGCGAUGUC